CGCUUCGAGGAGCGUUGCGACGGUUUGUAUCAAUACACGGAAAACUUUCCGGAAAACCGCCAGGCUCGAAGCAUUCAAUCGGACGGAGCGACCAGCGCGGGUCAUUAAUCAAGCGCUUGUUGAACCACCGCAUCGAACGGCGCUCACGUCAA
rnacentral:ncRNA from 2 species